UACGGAGGGGGCUAGCGUUGUUCGGAAUUACUGGGCGUAAAGCGCGCGUAGGCGGACCUGCAAGUCGGGGGUGAAAGCCCGAGGCUCAACCUCGGAACUGCCUUCGAUACUGCGGGUCUCGAGUCCGGGAGAGGUGAGUAGAAUUCCUAGUGUAGAGGUGAAAUUCGUAGAUAUUAGGAAGAACACCAGUGGCGAAGGCGGCUCACUGGCCCGGUACUGACGCUGAGGCGCGAAAGCGUGGAGAGCAAACAGG
rnacentral:rRNA from 1 species